rnacentral:rRNA from 1 species
UUUACAACGAAGAGUUUGAUCCUGGCUCAGGAUGAACGCUAGCGGCAGGCCUAACACAUGCAAGUCGAACGGUAACAGGGGUAGCAAUACCUGCUGACGAGUGGCGCACGGGUGAGUAACGCGUAUGCAACCUGCCCUGUACUGGGGGAUAGCUCGGAGAAAUCCGGAUUAAUACCCCAUAAUAUUAUUUACAGGCAUCUGUUUAUGAUUAAAGUUUCGGCGGUACAGGAUGGGCAUGCGUGCCAUUAGUUAGUUGGUGAGGUAACGGCUCACCAAGACGAUGAUGGCUAGGGGGUCUGAGAGGAUGAUCCCCCACACUGGUACUGAGACACGGACCAGACUCCUACGGGAGGCAGCAGUGAGGAAUAUUGGUCAAUGGACGCAAGUCUGAACCAGCCAUGCCGCGUGCAGGAUGACGGCCCUAGUGGUUGUAAACUGCUUUUGUAUGGGAAGAAACCCCUGAUCGUGAUCGGGGCUGACUGUACUGUACGAAUAAGCAUCGGCUAACUCCGUGCCAGCAGCCGCGGUAAUACGGAGGAUGCAAGCGUUAUCCGGAUUUAUUGGGUUUAAAGGGUGCGUAGGCGGGGUAGCAAGUCAGUGGUGAAAGUCUGCAGCUUAACUGUAGAAUUGCCGUUGAUACUGUUACUCUUGAAUUCAGUUGAGGUAGGCGGAAUGUGUAAUGUAGCGGUGAAAUGCAUAGAUAUUACACAGAACACCGAUUGCGUAGGCAGCUUGCUAAACUGAGAUUGACGCUGAGGCACGAAAGCGUGGGGA